rnacentral:ncRNA from 2 species
GGACGUCGACACGGGAGUCCCGGGACGGGGGCUGAGAGUGGGCGCGCCGCCCUUACCGUCACACCUGAUCCGGAUCAUGCCGGCGAAGGGAGAGGAAGGUGACCGGAA